UAUUUCUCUUCUCUUUUGCUCACUUUUCUCAAAUAAACCAUUUCUCUCUCUCUCUCUCUCUCUCUCUCUCUCUCUCUCUCUCUCUCUCUCUCUCUUUUGCAGGUGCUAGCAAGCAGAGGGCGACGAACAGGGGGUCUAUAGUGGCUGGUCUGUAGGAGACGAGCAGGAAGUCGAAACGACAAUGACUAGUGUAAUGAAAAUGUAACGGCAAAGGAAAGCUAGAUCAACCAUGAGAUGGAGGGCUUGGCAAAAGUGUGUACAUGUUUGGCCUGCUCAAUCAAUGGGGUUGAGUUAUCUUAUUGACUUGAGUCAAAAGUCUAAUUUUGUCGCUUAGGCCAACUUAUUUUGUGUACACAAGUUAUAGAUACGUUUUUCUUAAAUUAAAUGUGAUCCCAUGUAACUUUUAUUGAUUCAAAUUAAAUGACAUGAAUCUUUUUAUCAA